rnacentral:rRNA from 1 species
GGAAACCUUACUAGGGUAAGACAUUGGUAUGAUUGACAGAUUACUUGAUCUUUCUUGAUUUGGUGGGUGGUGGUGCAUGGCCGAUCUUAGUUGGUGGGGUGACCCGUCUGGUUAAUUUCGAUAACGAACGAGACCUCGACCUGCUAAAUAGUUCGGCAAAUUCUUCGGGAUUUGUACGUGACUUCUUAGAGGGACUAUCGGUGGUUAGCCGAUGGAAGUUCGAGGCAAUAA